GGCGGCAUGCUUAACACAUGCAAGUCGCACGGGCAGCAAUGUCAGUGGCGGACGGGUGAGUAACGCGUAGGUAUCUAUCCUUGGGUGGGGGACAACUGUGGGAAACUACAGCUAAUACCGCAUGAUAACUGAGGUUUAAAGGCGCAAGUCGCCUGGGGAGGAGCCUGCGUACGAUUAGCUUGUUGGUGGGGUAAAGGCCUACCAAGGCGACGAUCGUUAGCUGGUCUGAGAGGAUGAUCAGCCACACUGGGACUGAGACACGGCCCAGACACCUACGGGUGGCAGCAGUCGAGAAUUUUUCUCAAUGGGGGAAACCCUGAAGGAGCGACGCCGCGUGGAGGAUGAAGGUCUUCGGAUUGUAAACUCCUGUCAUUGGGGAACAAGGUGCAUACGUUAACUGCGUGUGCAUUGAU
rnacentral:rRNA from 1 species